rnacentral:rRNA from 1 species
AGUUUACUUUAUUUAUUAAUUUUUGUUUUUUGUUUAUAAAACUACUUUUUAGAAUAUAAAGUUUUGUUGGGGUGACAUUAAAAUUUAUUUAACUUUUAAUAUUUUUUUCAUUAAUUUAUGUUUUUUUGAUCCAGAAUUUUUGAUUAUAAGAUUAACU